rnacentral:rRNA from 1 species
CAGUCGCCGCGGUAAUACGGAGGGUGCAAGCGUUAAUCGGAAUUACUGGGCGUAAAGCGCACGCAGGCGGUUUGUUAAGUCAGAUGUGAAAUCCCCGAGCUUAACUUGGGAACUGCAUUUGAAACUGGCAAGCUAGAGUCUUGUAGAGGGGGGUAGAAUUCCAGGCGUAGCGGUGAAAUGCGUAGAGAUCUGGAGGAAUACCGGUGGCGAAGGCGGCCCCCUGGACAAAGACUGACGCUCAGGUGCGAAAGCGUGGGGAGCAAACAGGAUUAGAUACCCCUGUAGUCCCUGUCUCUUAUAC